rnacentral:tRNA from 1 species
AAGAUUUUAAGUUAAAAAAACUACUGAUUUUCAAAAUCAAAAUUAAUUUAAAAUUAAAUCUUA